rnacentral:lncRNA from 1 species
UUUAAAGACCCCAUCCACGGUGGAGCGUGAAGAACUGCAGAAACCCUUGUCAAGAGUGUGGGAAAAUAGAAGAUAUGCCCUAUUUAUGUGUGUUCCCCAAGAAACCUACAGUCCAGCUGGCAAUAAAUGAAGAAAGGGCCGUGGUUUGCAAACAAAUCCCACUCACUUACUAAUACAGGCCCCCUUCCUCCGGAUGCCCACUCCUUCCAGGCCCAGUCAGCCCCAGAGGCCUGCAGAGACCCUCCUNUCCCCUCCUUGUUCCUCCUUCAAUUAAAGGUUAGUUAAUUGGAAAACAAUUACUUUCUGACUAUAUACUGCUUUUUAGUUGUUGUUAAUCUUCUCUCACCACCAGCCCCCCUUCCAACUUGUCUGGUUACCUCAGGAAAUGUUUUCAUGAUCACUUUCACUCUCAAGAGUUUAGAGCCAUAACAACAAAGCAAAACAAAAAUAACAAAAAAAUUCUGAUAUUGUUAUAGUCUUAGAUGAAUGGAAAUGGUGUUUAAUGGAAAAAUAUAACCUUUGAUGAACCAGAAGUUCUUUUCUGAAUCUUCACAGACUCCACCUCCUUUCUUUAUGUGGCUUCCCAACAAGUUGCAUUCAGUACUAUUAAAUGAAGGCUCUACUCUCUUCCUAGUUUGGUAACAUUACUCCUUUCUUUUUUUUCCUCCACCACUUUUCAACUGUUAUGAGGAAGCAGAAUUUUAAAAUCUGACCUGAUAAGUUAACCACUUUAUGUCAUUGUUUUUUGUAAACAAUGUGUAACACGUUUAAAAUCUGAAAGGUAUUAGAUUCCACAUGAUCACGAGACCGGCAAACUUAGAACACAGCAGAAAUGGUUUCUGGGAAAGACUGUGAAGCCGCUGCAUGAUUAAUUGUCAGAUUGCACUAGUAUUGGGUUUAGAGGAAGAAGUGAUCGCUGGGCUAGAGGGAUCUGAAAAGGUUAGACUCUUAAACGUGGGGUGGCAUUUAGAAAAGUGUUUUCAGGAGUUAAGAGAAGGGAGACGCUAUUGUUCUGAACUGAGGCUGUAUCCUAGAAUGUUUUUUAAUACCUUUGUCCAGAAAGCAGCACUGCCCACACACCACAAAGUCUGUGUGUGUAUCCCCUUCCUUGUCUUGCCCUCAUUUCCUCUCUCUCACCUCACAGUCUGUCUCUCCUGAAGCCGGGCCCCCAAGCCUCCACCUCCAUGGCCUGCAUAGUUGAGAGAAGCAGCAGAAGGCUGAGAACAGAAACAAGGAUGAAGCUGUGCCGUGCUUGUAAACUGCGCGGAGUCGGAAAGCAAGCUGGGUUUGCGAGAAGCUGUCUUCAUCCACAUUUCACAGAUGAGGGAAUGGUCCUCAGAACAGCUUGUCCCUCUCUCCAACCUCCAGCCAGAGAAAGGAAGCCUGGGCUGGACCUGCCUGGUCCCUGAGCUGGUGUCAGAAAAUCCUCUGCAACAACAACAUGACAGGAGAAGGGAGACUAUAAGCCACUGCGAUCCCGGGCCCAGCACGGCACCUGGAGCUCCUUCAUCGUUAAGUAAUUGGCAUUAUGUAAAAAGAUCCAAGUAGUAGGUCAGGGACAGGGAAAGGAGCAGGGGCAUAUAAGAAAAAGAAAAAUGCAAAUGUUCAGAGUUCCCUGGUGGCCUGGCAGGUUAAAGACCUGGCAUUGUCACGGCUGUGGCUCGGGUUGUUGCUGUGGCAAGGGUUAAGUCCCUGGCCUAGGAACUUCUGCUUGCCUUGAGUGUGGCCAAAAAAAAAAAAAAA